GUCAAACCUCAGAGGGAAGGCCAGGAAUUCUCAUUUCUGUUAUCUAUCUACAUGGAAUGUCUGUGGGAAUCCACCUAACACCGACACAUAUGUAAUCUUGAACAUUAGAGGCUUACAAUGUGUUGGAGUGCCAUCAACCACUCAGAGAACAAAGGCAGCAGGAGCCAAGCAUUCAGCUCCAGCUUAUUUUGAUGAAGGAAGUGAGAGGAGAGGGGUCUAGACAGAGCUUUAGCAGUGGAUGCUGAUGACCUACACCUCAGAAGAAGCUUUCUCAGGGUACUCCAGGGUCUCUCCUAUGGCCUUAUGUUCCUGAAAAAAAAGCUUG